rnacentral:rRNA from 1 species
UACGUAGGGUGCGAGCGUUAAUCGGAAUUCUGGGCGUAAAGCGUGCGCAGGCGGUGAUGUAAGACCGAUGUGAAAUCCCCGGGCUUAACCUGGGAACUGCAUUGGUGACUGCAUCGCUCGAGUAUGGCAGAGGGGGGGUAGAAUUCCACGUGUAGCAGUGAAAUGCGUAGAGAUGUGGAGGAAUACCGAUGGCGAAGGCAGCCCCCUGGGUCAAUACUGACGCUCAUGCACGAAAGCGUGGGGAGCAAACAGG